AAACCAUUUUUCCCCCUUAGUAUGGGCGACAGAAAAGGGCAUGAGGCGCAAUAGAAACAGUACCGCAAGGGAAAGCUGAAAGAGAAAUGAAACAACCCAGCGAAGCCUAAUAAAGCAGAGAUUUCAUCUCGUACCUUUUGCAUCAUGAUUUAGCCAGUAAUAUUUAAGCAAAGAGCACUUUAGUUUAAAACCCCGAAACUAGAUGAGCUACUCCGAGACAGCCUAUAAAUAGGGCAAAUCCGUCUCUGUGGCAAAAGAGUGGAAAGAGCUCCGAGUAGAGGUGACAGACCUACCGAAUCUAGUUAUAGCUGGUUGCCUGAGAACUGGAUAGAAGUUCAGCCUCACGGCUUCUCCCCUCACAACCAUUACAUUUUAAGACAACCAAAGAAACCCUGAGAGUUAAUCAAAAGAGGUACAGCUCCUUUGAUAAAAGACACAACUUUCCCAGGAGGGUAAAGAUCAUAUUUUAUUAAGGCCAAAUGUCCUGGUGGGCCUAAAAGCAGCCACCCAUAUAGAAAGCGUUAAAGCUCAAACAUAACCGCCUUCCCCUAUUAUACUGAUAAUUUUAUCUUAACCCCCUAACCCGUAUCAGGCCGUCCCCUGCCCACAGGGGAGCGACAAUGCUAAAAUGAGUAAUAAGAGAGCCAGACUCUCUCCCCGCACACGUGUAUCUCGGAACGGACUAACCACCGAACCUUAACGGCCCCAAACAAAGAGGGAAAUGAGCAACAAAAAAGACAACUAGAAAAACACUCAACCUCCAACCGUUGACCCCACACUGGUGUGCCCCAUGGGAAAGACUAAAAGAAAAAGAAGGAACUCGGCAAACACAUUUUUGAGCCUCGCCUGUUUACCAAAAACAUCGCCUCUUGCAAAAUUAAUGAAUAAGAGGUCCCGCCUGCCCUGUGAUAUAUUUAUUUAACGGCCGCGGUAUUUUGACCGUGCGAAGGUAGCGCAAUCACUUGUCCUUUAAAUGGGGACCUGUAUGAAUGGCAUAACGAGGGCUCUACUGUCUCCUUUUUCCAGUCAAUGAAAUUGAUCUCCCCGUGCAGAAGCGGGGAUAAUACCAUAAGACGAGAAGACCCUAUGGAGCUUUAGACACUAAAGCAGACCACGUUAAACACUCCAAAACAACGGAUUAAACUACAUGGCUCCCGCCCGAAUGUCUUUGGUUGGGGCGACCACGGGGGAAAACAAAGCCCCCAUGUGGAAUGGGAAUACCAUUCCUACAACCAAGAGUUUCCACUCCAGUGACCAGAACUUCUGACCUUACAGAUCCGGCAAAGCCGAUCAACGGACCGAGUUACCCUAGGGAUAACAGCGCAAUCCUCUUUUAGAGCCCAUAUCGACAAGAGGGUUUACGACCUCGAUGUUGGAUCAGGACAUCCUAAUGGUGCAGCCGCUAUUAAGGGUUCGUUUGUUCAACGAUUAAAGUCCUACGUGAUCUGAGUUCAGACCGGAGUAAUCCAGGUCAGUUUCUAUCUAUGCUAUGAUCUUUUCUAGUACGAAAGGACCGAAAAGAGGAGGCCCCUGCUACAAGCACGCCUCACCUCCAACUAAUGAAGACAACUAAAAUAGCUAAGGAGGC
rnacentral:rRNA from 1 species